AGGGCAGCAAGCAGAGCUCUCCGGCCAUGCGAGGGUGCAGGCAAGGAACUGGCUGCCUGUGCAACACUCACAACUACCAUUUACCUUGGUCCGUUUGAAAGAGAUGAGCUUACUUUCCCAGCCCAAUUAAUUCUCCAGGUAGAGUACGAACCUCACACAAGCUCCUGUUUACGAACAUCUGUGCAUACAUAUGUGUACACGGGGCCAUGCAGUCCAUGGUACAUGCCUUUCCUUAAUGGUUUUCAGGCUUCACUUCAGCGAGGGAGGAGAGACAUGUCUCAUGGCCGUGCGUUUUCUGCCUCUCCGUGGCAGGAGGGAACGCGGGCAGUUGUAGAAAAUGAUAUUUAUGAAUAAAUUCUGUGACUUGGAUAGAGCUAUUGAAGACUCCUGCAAAGGAUGAGAAGAAGCGACGGAGCUGGAAUAUCCAGAAAGGAGAAGUCUCCAAAGCCUGAAAGCAGAAAGUUCUCUCCUGAAGCUGAUAAUGACGUGAGACAGGAGAGUAGCUGGGGUGACUUGUGCUGUCAGUCUGGAUUACUAGCCUCAGCCGUUGGAAGGACAGACUUUGUACUGUGAGUGACCCUAACGUGUGUUGUACUUGGAUCUCUACCAAAUAUAAGUCAUGAUAAAAUAUUAUGCCCCAUAGAUGGGUCUUACACCUGAACUGUUGGUUUCCCUGAGACUCUCCAAACUAUAAUUCUUAAUUUAUGGGAACUCUGUCCAAACAUAGCUUGGAACAAAGUAUGUGCAGGGGUGUAAGAGAG
rnacentral:lncRNA from 1 species